AUCUAACAUAAAGUUAUAUAGCAUGGCCGGGCAUGUAGCUAAUUUUUGGUUGCAGACUCGAGUGAGAUAAUGCCGAGAGCAGAACAGCGAAAAACGGAUAAAUUAGCUUCUUAUGUCGCGAAAUAUCUUAUUUUUAAAACUGAAGGCGUCGUAUUGUUUUGCAAAGCUUGGAACAAGUCUGUGUCGUCAGAAAGAUUAUACUCUUUGCAAUCGCAUGUUUGCAAGUUUGACACAUAGUGAAGCGGAAAAAAAAUCAUCAACAAAUACGCAGCCAUUAUCAACUCAAACCACAAGUUCCAAUCAAAAUCAGUUCGCGCAAGAUUUAUGCAUAGCAUUAGUUGCAUCCGACAUUCCACUUUAUAAAUUAAGGAAUGAAAACCUAAAAAGUUUUUUUGGAAAAUAUGUAGAUUUAACUAUUCCUUCUGAAACCUCCAUGCGUAGAAUAUUUUGUGAAAUUUACAACGAAACUCUUGAAACCAUAAGAAUGCAAAUAAAAAACAAAUAUUUGUGGAUAUCGAUUGACGAGACAACCGAAUCGUCUGGGAGAUACAUUGCUAACGUCGUCUGUGACAUAUUGGAUACGGAUGCCGAAGAGGCCAAAAAACAUUUUCUGGUGCAUGUAGCAGAGUUAAAAGAUUGAUAUUCUGAACGAUGAUGACGUCCGCCUCAACUUAAUUUCUAUCUCAAGUAAUUUCGGGUUUAUACUCAAAUCAAUUAAAACUUUGGAAUCAAACGGAUUAGCUCUGCAUACUCAACUUAGAGUAAUAUUGGAGGCCAAAGAAUUACUUCAACAAAGUGGUAACGAUAUUAUAGUACGAAAAUUUAAUUCGAUUUUMACAAAAAACAAAGGUUUUCCAAUAAUAAAAGAAAUAUCGAAUCAAA